UAGAGUUUGAUCCUGGCUCACAAUCAACGCUGGCGGCGCGCCUAACACAUGCAAGUCGAACGAGAAAGCAGGAGCAAUCUUGUGAGUAAAGUGGCGUACGGGUGAGUAACACGUGGAUCAUCUACCUCUUUGGGGGGGAUAACCCUGGGAAACCGGAGCUAAUACCGCAUAAGUCCGAGAGGAGAAAGCAGCAAUGCGCAGAGAGAGGAGUCCGCGGCCGAUUAGCUAGUUGGUAGGGUAAGAGCCUACCAAGGCAACGAUCGGUAGCCGGCCUGAGAGGGCACACGGCCACACUGGCACUGAAACACGGGCCAGACUCCUACGGGAGGCAGCAGUGGGGGAUCUUGCACAAUGGGGGCAACCCUGAUGCAGCGACGCCGCGUGAGCGAUGAAGCCCUUCGGGGUGUAAAGCUCUUUCGGCAGGGAAGAUUAUGACGGUACCUGCAGAAGCAGCUGCGGCUAACUACGUGCCAGCAGCCGCGGUAAUACGUAGGCAGCAAGCGUUGUUCGGAGUUACUGGGCGUAAAGGGUGUGUAGGCGGUUUUCUAAGUCUGGUGUGAAAUCUCCCGGCUCAACUGGGAGGGUGCGCCGAAAACUGGAAGGCUAGAGUGCGCGAUGGGAGAGUGGAAUUCCUGGUGUAGCGGUGAGAUGCGUAGAUAUCACGAGGAACACCUGUGGUGUAGACUGCUCUCUGGACCGCAACUGACGCUGAGACACGAAAGCGUGGGUAGCAAACAUGAUUAGAUACGCUGCUAGUCCACGCCUUACACGAUGCAUAUUUGGGUGUGGGCAUGCAUUCGAUCCGUGCCGGAUCUACGCGAUAAAUAUGCAUUCUGCGAGUACGGUCGCAUGCCUGAAACUCAACGAUUGACGGGUUCCGCACUAGCGGUGGCAGUCAUGUGGUUGAAC
rnacentral:rRNA from 1 species